rnacentral:misc_RNA from 1 species
AACAUCGCGCACCUGCGGGAACCUGCGGAGGGAUCAUUACCGAGUGGGGACCCUCCGGGUCCAACCUCCCACCCGUGUUUAACGAACCUUGUUGCUUCGGCGGGCCCGCCUCACGGCCGCCGGGGGGCACUCCGCCCCCGGGCCCGCGCCCGCCGAAGACACCUGUGAACGCUGUCUGAAGUUGCAGUCUGAGACACUAGCUCAAUCAGUUAAAACUUUUAACAAUGGAUCUCAGAUCGG